CCAGGUCACACUGAUGGGAUUCAUCAUUCAUUAGUCACAAGUAACCAAAGUAAGCUUACCAAGCUCAAAACCAGGUACAGAUUCAAGCAAACACACGCACAAAGUACAACAUCAAAAUCCCGCGAUGCUGAUACAACACAGAAGGUAAUAAAACGCAUGCACAAACUAAAAUGCAAGCAAGUUCACUUCAGAGCUGAACACUGUAUGCUGCUAGAUAGAGGUUGAGUUUUCCAUGUCGAGCAUGCAGAUGGAAGGAACUAUACUCGACAGACCAUUUCUGCAUCUCAG
rnacentral:lncRNA from 1 species